UAGAGUUAGUUUAAGGUUAGUCAUGAGCUAGAAACUAACUCUAACCUCUAGCUAAGUUAGAGUAUCCAAACGGGGCCGAUAGUUAUGGUGCCUAUGCGGAUGAUCGCUACAGAGGCUCCUAUUCCACCAGUGGUGGCUGCGGAUACGGUGGAGAUCAAAGACAACUUAAAGGAGGUGGCGGCUGCUGGUUCAUUGCACCCCCC
rnacentral:lncRNA from 1 species